rnacentral:rRNA from 1 species
CAACGUGGGUAACCUGCCCAAGAGACUGGGAUAACACCUGGAAACAGAUGCUAAUACCGGAUAACAACACUAGACGCAUGUCUAGAGUUUAAAAGAUGGUUCUGCUAUCACUCUUGGAUGGACCUGCGGUGCAUUAGCUAGUUGGUAAGGUAACGGCUUACCAAGGCAAUGACGCAUAGCCGAGUUGAGAGACUGAUCGGCCACAUUGGGACUGAGACACGGCCCAAACUCCUACGGAAGGCAGCAG